rnacentral:rRNA from 1 species
UGUUCCCAUGCCGAACACAGAAGUUAAGCUCUUUAGCGCCGAUGGUAGUCGGACUUACGUUCCGCAAGAGUAGGACGUUGCCAGGC